rnacentral:rRNA from 1 species
UACGUAGGGUGCGAGCGUUGUCCGGAAUUAUUGGGCGUAAAGAGCUUGUAGGCGGUCUGUCGCGUCUGCUGUGAAAAUCCGGGGCUCAACCCCGGACUUGCAGUGGGUACGGGCAGACUAGAGUGUGGUAGGGGAGACUGGAAUUCCUGGUGUAGCGGUGAAAUGCGCAGAUAUCAGGAGGAACACCGAUGGCGAAGGCAGGUCACUGGGCCGCAACUGACGCUGAGGAGCGAAAGCAUGGGGAGCGAACAGG